rnacentral:rRNA from 1 species
CCUACGGGUGGCAGCAGUGGGGAAUAUUGCGCAAUGGGCGAAAGCCUGACGCAGCGACGCCGCGUGAGGGAUGAAGGUCCUCGGAUCGUAAACCUCCGUCAGCAGGGAAGAACGGUCACUGUGCUAAUCAGCAGUGAAUUGACGGUACCUGCAAAGGAAGCACCGGCUAACUCCGUGCCAGCAGCCGCGGUAAUACGGAGGGUGCGAGCGUUAAUCGGAAUUACUGGGCGUAAAGCGCUCGUAGGCGGUAUGUCAAGUCAAGGGUGAAAUCCCCGCGCUCAACGUGUGAACUGCCUUUGAAACUGGCAGACUGGAGUGUGUGAGAGGAUAGUGGAAUUCCAGGUGUAGGGGUGAAAUCCGUAGAUAUCUGGAGGAACAUCAGUGGCGAAGGCGGCUAUCUGGCACAUAACUGACGCUGAGGAGCGAAAGCGUGGGUAGCAAACAGGAUUAGAUACCCGGGUAGUC